GUAACACCCGAAGUCGGUGAGGUAACCUUCAUGGAGCCAGCCGCCUAAGGUGGGACAGAUGAUUGGGGUGAAGUCGUAACAAGGUAGCCGUAUCGGAAGGUGCGGCUGGAUCACCUCCUUUCUAAGGAUAAUUACGAGAGCGCUUUUGUUUUGUUCAGUUUUGAAUGAGUAAUUCAUUCAAAUAGGAAAGACAGUCAUCACGAUGUGAUGGAUUCUUUCUGCUUUGUUCCUUGAAAACUAGAUAAUAGAUAGAAGGCAAUUAAUUUUUUUCAAAGCAUCUGUAAGAUCUUUUUUAACGGUUAAGUUAGAAAGGGCGCACGGUGGAUGCCUUGGCACUAGGAGCCGAUGAAGGACGGGACUAA
rnacentral:misc_RNA from 1 species